CACGUAGGGGGCGAGCGUUGUCCGGAAUCCUUGGGCGUAAAGGGCGUGUAGGGGGCUUUGCAAGUCGGAUGUGAAAGCCCACGGCUCAACCGUGGAAGUGCAUCCGAAACUGCAUGGCUGGAGUCUCGGAGAGGAAGGUGGAAUGCUUGGUGUAGAGGUGAAAUUCGUAGAUAUCAAGCAGAACACCUGCGGCGAAGGCGGCCUUCUGGACGAUGACUGACGCUGAGACGCGAAAGCGUGGGGAGCAAACAGG
rnacentral:rRNA from 1 species